rnacentral:sRNA from 1 species
UCAUGAGCCACAAACGGACGUCAUUGAGUGCAGAGGAUGCUGAGGUGACCAAAGCUUUUGAAGAAGAUAUAGAGACCCCACCAACAAGAAACAUUCCUUCUCCCGGACAGCUGGACCCAGACACACGGAUCCCUGUUAUCAAUCUUGAAGAUGGGACUAGGCUGGUGGGGGAAGAUGCUCCUAAAAAUAAGGAUUUAGUUGAAUGGCUGAAGCUGCACCCUACUUACACUGUUGAUAUGCCAAGUUAUGUACCAGUGAGUAUUGCAGAGUUUAGAGUUGGAAGGAAUCUUGCAGGCCGGUCCACUUCAUUCCCUUACAACACAGAAAUCCCUGACAGCUGGUCCCUCUGCCUUUUCCUUGAAUGUUUCCUGGUCUCAAACAUUUCCCAGGUCUUUGUUGUUGAAUCUUCUUCAUUGCAGAUACUAGCUUCAGGUCUGUCUUACUGAAGGCAGCCUUACAGUUAUUUGAAGAUGCGCGUUAUGCAUUUCCUUACUGUUUGCUUCUCCC